rnacentral:rRNA from 1 species
AGAGUUUGAUCAUGGCUCAGGACGAACGCUGGCGGCGUGCCUAAUACAUGCAAGUCGAGCGGUAGCACAGGGAGCUUGCUCCUGGGUGACGAGCGGCGGACGGGUGAGUAAUGUCUGGGAAACUGCCUGAUGGAGGGGGAUAACUACUGGAAACGGUAGCUAAUACCGCAUAAUGUCGCAAGACCAAAGAGGGGGACCUUAGGGCCUCUUGCCAUCAGAUGUGCCCAGAUGGGAUUAGCUAGUAGGUGGGGUAACGGCUCACCUAGGCGACGAUCCCUAGCUGGUCUGAGAGGAUGACCAGCCACACUGGAACUGAGACACGGUCCAGACUCCUACGGGAGGCAGCAGUGGGGAAUAUUGCACAAUGGGCGCAAGCCUGAUGCAGCCAUGCCGCGUGUAUGAAGAAGGCCUUCGGGUUGUAAAGUACUUUCAGCGGGGAGGAAGGCGGUGAGGUUAAUAACCUCAUCGAUUGACGUUACCCGCAGAAGAAGCACCGGCUAACUCCGUGCCAGCAGCCGCGGUAAUAC